rnacentral:rRNA from 1 species
CCUACGGGAGGCAGCAGUGGGGAAUUUUGGACAAUGGGGGCAACCCUGAUCCAGCAAUGCCGCGUGAGUGAAGAAGGCCCUCGGGUUGUAAAGCUCUUUUGUCAGGGAAGAAACGGUCUACUCUAAUACAGUGGGCUAAUGACGGUACCUGAAGAAUAAGCACCGGCUAACUACGUGCCAGCAGCCGCGGUAAUACGUAGGGUGCAAGCGUUAAUCGGAAUUACUGGGCGUAAAGCGUGCGCAGGCGGUUUUAUAAGACAGAGGUGAAAUCCCCGGGCUCAACCUGGGAACUGCCUUUGUGACUGUAAGGCUAGAGUGUGUCAGAGGGGGGUAGAAUUCCACGUGUAGCAGUGAAAUGCGUAGAUAUGUGGAGGAAUACCGAUGGCGAAGGCAGCCCCCUGGGAUAACACUGACGCUCAUGCACGAAAGCGUGGGGAGCAAACAGGAUUAGAUACCCUGGUAGUCCACGCCCUAAACGAUGUCUACUAGUUGUCGGGACUUAAUUGUCUUGGUAACGCAGCUACGCGUGAGUAGACGCCGUCGGGAGGUACGGUCGGCGAGAAGUUAAACGUUAACGUUAAAGAAGUAGUUAGUUACGUGNGAGNGCGACGACGACGACGACGGAGGAGGAG